GGCGGCGCGGCGGAGAGGCGGAUAGCGGCGGAGAGACGGAUAGCGGCGGAGAGGCGGACAGCGGCGGCGCGGCGGAGAGGCGGACAGCGGCGGAGAGGUGGACAGCGGCGGAGAGGCGGACAGCGGCGGCGCGGCGGAGAGACGGACAGCGGCGGAGAGGCGGACAGCGGCGGCGCGGCGGAGAGGCGGACAGCGGCGGCGCGGCGGAGAGACGGACAGCGGCGGAGAGGCAGACAGCGGCGGCGAGGCGCGCAGCGGCGGCGCAGGCGCGGAGAGGCGCUGGCGCCGGCUCUGGCGCGGAGAGGUGCAGGCCCAGGCUCCACUCCCCAGCUGUGAAAGGGUGAAACGGAACCUACUGGAAUGAAGCUGGCCUCCCAUGGAAUGAAGCUGGCCUCCCGUCUCCUUGAUUUGAAGCAGCUUCUCCACGUUGGUUAUUAUGCCAUUUUUCUAAAUCUAACAUUUUAAAAUUUGUGCCUUUUCUUUCUCUUUUGCUUGACUUCUCAGAGGUUUUUUUAACGGUCUUUUCAAAGAAGUGGUUUUGGGUUUUAUUUAUCAAGUCUACUUUUAUUAUGGCUGUUUUAAAAUUAAAUACAUUUAUUUCUUGUUUCCCUUAAAAAAGCUUCUU
rnacentral:lncRNA from 1 species